rnacentral:rRNA from 1 species
UACGAAGGGGGCUAGCGUUGUUCGGAAUUACUGGGCGUAAAGCGCGCGUAGGCGGUUUUGCAAGCCAGAGGUGAAAUGCCUGAGCUCAACUUAGGAAUUGCCUUUGGGACUGCGAGGCUUUGAGGACUGGAGAGGUGAGUGGAAUUCCCAGUGUAGAGGUGAAAUUCGUAGAUAUUGGGAAGAACACCGGUGGCGAAGGCGGCUCACUGGCCAGUUUCUGACGCUGCAGCG